rnacentral:misc_RNA from 1 species
CAUGAUUAUAGGGCCCUAAAAGCCCAAUAAGAUAAAAUUUUGCUACAAACCCUCAUAACCAAAACUCGAGACACAAGCAUCCGUAUCCAACCACAGAGGAGCCCUAGAUCUAAAUAGGUUGUGACCUGAAGCCUCAUCUUCAAUCACUGGAGCAAAGAGGACUCCAUCUUCCUCAACAAAGAAUUGUUAGCUACUGAAGGGAAAGCUGCAUAAAAAUAAAGGGAAACUGAAUAGCAACAAGGGAAGAAUAAGCAUCCCUUCUUUAACCAGCUGAUCUUUUCAGAACAAUAACUUUCUCCCCAGAGGAAAAGGGAAACAUGAGAUUUAUACAACAAACACAAUAUUACCCAGGGCUAGGAACCAGUGUUGGAAUAAAUCCGGAAAUGACUUGGCACGAUACGAGUAUCUCAUUCUCGUUUAGCCAAGACGGAAAUGGAGUUGGCGACUAAGCAACACUAAUACCGCCGUAAAUGCUAGCCCACACGGAAAACCCCUAAAGUUAAAAACUAAACAGUUGAGCCGAUAUAAGUAGUGAAUUAAAUCCUCACAUUGAAGCACAUAACCAGCAGACCAAUAAAACAAAACUCCAUUUACACACCAAAAAGAAAGGGGUGAGAGAGGAGCCACCCUUUGGUUAGAUGGAAGGACCGUCCCCUGCCAAAAGGUAGGGAUAGCUACUGAACAAAGAGAGAAGCCCAAAAACUCUAAAAAGAAAGAGGAUGAAACUCCCUCAUUAAAAAGAGAGACAAG